rnacentral:rRNA from 1 species
CACGUACUCCAUAAGUGGUGUCCGCUUAUAUUGGGCCUAAAACGUCCGUAGCUCGCCCAAAAAGUCGUCGGUGAAAUCAACCGGCUUAACCGAUUGAAAUGCCAACGAAACUAUUGGGCUAGAGGCCGGAAGAGGUCAAGGGAAUUUCAGGGGUAGCGGUGAAAUGUUAUAAUCCUUGAAAGACCACCAGUAGCGAAGGCGCUUGACCAGGACGGUCCUGACAGUGAGGGACGAAAGCUGGGGGAGCGACCCGGAUUAGAUACCCUCGUA